UAUUUAUUUAUUUACAGUAUUUAUAUUCCGCCCUUCUCACCCCGAAGGGGACUCAGGGCGGAUUACAAUGAACACAUAUAUGGCAAACAUUCAAUGCCAACAGACAAACAACAUUCAGUUUAGACAGACACAGAGGCAUUUUAACAUCUUUCCAGCUUCACGAUUCCGGCCACAGGGGGAGCUGUUGCUUCACCGUCCACUGGUGGCUGUUCCUCCUCAUUCUUUUCCUCGUGUUUUGCUGGCAGUUUUAUGGUGUUGUAAAUUAGUUAAAUUAGCCUCCCGCAUAAAGCGUACCUAAAUUUUCCCUACUUGACAGAUGCAACUUUCUUUCGGGGCUGCAUAGGUCAACAGCAAGCCGGGGCUAUUUUUUUUAAUGGUCGGAGGCUUAACCCGACCCGGGCUUCGAACUCAUGACCUCUCGGUCAGUAGUGAUUUAUAGCAGCUGGUUACUAGCCAGCUGUGCCACAGCCCGGCUCCUGGUGUUGCCUCCAUUGGUGUUGCCUCCAACAAUGGUGUUGCCUCCAUUGAGCUUGCUUUUGAGAAUUAUUAUUAUUAUUAUUAUUAUUAUUAUUAUUAUUAUAUUAUCAUCCUGAGAGUUGCAGUCCAGUAAGUCCCACUUCCAGGAUCUUACAACCCAAAGUAUUGCCCAAAAUCAGAGUUAGGAAACAUCUGUGACCAGAAUAGGUUGCAGCUCGGGUCCAAGUGAAUUAUAUGGCAGAAUUGGCUAGCUGUCUGGUAUAAUUUAGUAAGAAUUUGCCAUGCUAGAAACCCCAUGUCUCUCGGCUCUUUUUGCUGCUUCCCAUGCAGUCUGAGUACUCUCUAGAGUUUUCUGUCUUUUUGUAGUGGGCUCCGAUGCGUCGUCUCAGUUACACCUUGCUCUUGUGGGCAACACAAAAGGAUUUCAUUUUAGAUCAAGCAUUCGCUUCCAGAGCUCUUAAACCUUCAGUUCACCGCAUUGUAAUUGGUUUCUCAGACAGAACUCCAGCAAUGACAAAGAAGCUGUGACCUUCAUUCUGGCUCUCUUCAAGAAUAUAUUUUGGCUCUAAUUCUUCCAGGAAAACAUCCACCCCCCUCCUACCAAUUUUCUGUUUCAGAUUUUUCCGCAUGGCUUUGAACAAAGAAAACAAAACCGAAAGGUCCUUUGCCUGGAGGAAAUGUAACUUGCUCCAGUCUGCCUUUGCUGGGUUGAAUCCUCCCGCCUCCCCCUGAAUUUCGCUUAAAACUGAUUGAAAACAGAUGGCAAAGUUCACCCGGGCUCCUACUUUGGUUUGAGGAUUGGCCAAGGUUCAAAUCCUGGGAGUGGAGUGAGCGCCCGCUAUUAGCUCCAGCUUCUGCCAACCUAGCAGUUCGAAAAUAUGCCAAUGUGAGUAGAUCAAUAGGUACCGCUUCGGCGGGAAGGUAACGGCGCUCCGUGCAGUCAUGCCGGCCACAUGACCUUGGAGGUGUCUACGGACAAUGCCAGCUCUUCGGCUUAAAAAUGGAGAUGAGCAUCAACACCCAGAGUCGGACAUGACUGGACUUAACAUCAGGGGAAACCUUUACCUUUUAUUUAUUUAUUUCCAACAUUUGUAUCCCGCCCUUCUCACCCAAAAGGACUCAGGGCGGCUUACAACAACAGCAACAAUUAGAUGCCCACACAAAAACAAUAUCAAACAAUACAUAAAAUCAAUUAAAACUAUUAAAUACAAUAUAAAAUUAAAAUAUAUAAAUUUAAAACAUUU